rnacentral:rRNA from 1 species
UACGGAGGAUCAGAGCGUUAUCCGGAUUUAUUGGGUUUAAAGGGUGCGCAGGCGGGAUGUUAAGUCGGCGGUGAAAUUUUGCAGCUCAACUGUAAAAGUGCCUUCGAUACUGGCUUUCUUGAGUGUGGAUGAAGUAGGCGGAAUUUAUGGUGUAGCGGUGAAAUGCUUAGAUAUCACGAGGAACUCCGAUUGCGCAGGCAGCUUACUAAACCACUACUGACGCUCAUGCACGAAGGCGUGGGGAUCAAACAGGAUUAGAUA